GAGGGGGUUUGUUCGAAAUGUAGAGAAUAGGUCAGUUUUGUAAUAAUUACAGUAAUAACCCAGUAACUACGGUUAUAACAGAACACAUUACGUAAAUAGAAAUGAUGGGCAAUCGCCUUCUGUUUAAACAAUGUAAGCACAUUCCAUUCUAAAACGGGUAAAGAAAACUUAGCUAAAUCUCCACCAUCGAGUUUAACCCCUUAGGGACCAA